rnacentral:rRNA from 1 species
GGAGGGUGCAAGCGUUGUUCGGAAUUAUUGGGCGUAAAGCGCGUGUAGGCGGUCUGUUAAGUCUGAUGUGAAAGCCCCGGGCUCAACCCGGGAAGUGCAUUGGAAACUGGCAGACUUGAGUACGGGAGAGGGUAGUGGAAUUCCGAGUGUAGGGGUGAAAUCCGUAGAUAUUCGGAGGAACACCGGUGGCGAAGGCGGCUACCUGGACCGAUACUGACGCUGAGACGCGAAAGCGUGGGGAGCAAACAGGAUUAGAUACCCUGGUAGUCCACGCCGUAAACGAUGGGUACUAGGUGUUGCGGGUAUUGAUCCCUGCAGUGCCGAAGCUAACGCAUUAAGUACCCCGCCUGGGGAGUACGGCCGCAAGGCUAAA